GUACUUUGUGGAAGCCUGUUAUAUCACUGGGCUUCCCAGGUAGGGCUCAGUGGUAAAGAAUCUGCCUGCCAACGCAGGAGACACAAGAGAAGCAGGUUCAAUCCGUGGGUUGGGAAGAUACCCUGGAGGAGGAAAUGGCAACCUACUCUGGUAUUCUUGCCUGGAAAAUUCCAAGGACAGAGGAGCCUGGCGGGUCACAGUCCAUGGGGUCACAAAGAGUUGGACACGACUGAGCACGCGUGCUGUUUCACUAAAUCUUCACGGCACUCUGAAGUAUGUAGUAGUAUUCCCAGUCUGAAGCUACUGAAUCUGAGUCCACUGAGGAUCCCUAUAGAUCCAUGCUGGGGACCACACGAGACAACAUGGCCAAGAACAUGGCAAAAAAGAAGAAAAGCAGCAGAGACUAGCAGCCGUGAGAGAGAGACAGAGAGGGAGAGAGGGCAGGCAGCUAAGAGGUGGGUCCAGUGGGCUUGGCGCUGUGACAGAUUACACAGUUGCCGCCAGUUUUCUCCCUGUAUCCACCACUUCUGCCCUGAGACUCUGCACUUUUCCUCACCGCCACGGGGAGCAUAUAUUUUCCCACUCCCUGCCUCUGGGCUUGAUCAGGGGACUGACUUUGCCCAGUGGCACGGUAGCACACACGACCCAGCGAGGGCUCCGAGUGCCCUUCCCGUCACCAGGAAAGACCCUGCUGGGGGAGAAGCCGAGGGACCCCGCUUUGCACCACAGACUCCCGCACCCCAUCUGCUGAUGCCUGAGCACACAGUGAGACCAGCUCAGCUGGGAAAGCCACCCUCAGAUGUGUAAACUAAGUCACUGCUCGCCAUCCCAGGUCACUGACAUGUGUGUGGUUGUUCGUUACACAGAAAUGGCCCCUGUGAGCCAGGAGAUCACUCCCCGCUUUUCUUCACCUACUGUCUGCCUGUUUGUUUGUUUUUGAUCACCAAAAUGGAGGCUUCAAACGGGGCAGGGCUUUUUGCCUAUUUUCUGCUACAUUUCUAAUACCAAUAAAAAGGACUGGGACACUGUAGGCACUCAGUAAAUAUCUGAUGAAUAAAGCAAGCUUGAGCUGCGCUGCUGUCACCUCAAGCCCAGCCUCUGACUAAUACAAGCCACAGGUCAGACAGGGUUUUUUCCCCCCUUUGAUUUUACAGCAUAUAUUUACGUCACAAAAAUUACAUCAAUAGAAUUUAGUCUAGUGGUUUUCUCCCAUAUUGAAGGAUUUUCAGGGUCAACAAAUCAUUAAUGUAUCAAGGGCUGGCACAAAAGUACAGAUUAGCACUUAAUGAAGUCAAUCCUCAACUAUUUCUUGACAGAGAAAACACAAGCCAUAAAGCCCUAAACGCCACACUAACACGCUACACAAUGCUACUCUUUUCUUACCUACACCUCUGCGUGUUAUUUAGACCAGAGACCGCCGUUUGGUUUUGGUUUCUUAAUUUUUAUUUCACAAAGAAAAGUUUGAUGAAUGGCACGAAGAGCUCCUUCGGGCCUUUUACCCAGACUCAUCCACGGUCAACAUUUUCCUCCAUUUGCAGUAUCAUCUGCUUGCUCCAUUUCUUCCUCUGAAUCAUUUCAGAGGAAUUGCAGACACCAUCUGCUUGCUCCAUUUCUUCCUCUGAAUCAGAGGAAUUGCAGACAUGUUUGUGUGUGUGUGUUCAAUCGCUCAGUCAUGUCAGACUCUUUUCAACCCCGUGGACUGUAGCCUGCCAGGCUCCUCUGUCCAAGGGAUUUUCCAGGCAAGAAUACUAGGCUGAGUUGCCAUUGCCUUCUCCGGGGGAUCUUCCCAACCCAGGGACUGAACCUGCAUUGGCAGGUGGGUUCUUUAUCACUGAGCCACUAGGGAAGCCCCGUUUUCAUGAGUGCAACAUUUUAAAAAAUUUGUAAUUGAAACUAAAUUUAUCUAAUAGGAUUUAUUCUUUCUUGAGCUUUGCACAGAAUUACAUAUUUAAGUUCUCUGACUCUAAUAAUUGAUUUAGGGUAUAGUACCAAGGAGUUUUAUUAAUCCUAAUUUUUUAAAAUUGUGGUAAAAUGCAUGCAAGCUUUAUAAUCUUAACCAUUUAAAAAAUAUAUACUCAGUAAUGUUAAAUAUAUUCACAUUGUUAUACAACCAUCAUCUAUGCAUCUCCAGAACACUUUUCACCUUAAAAACUGAAGCUCUGUGCCUACUAAACAAUAAUUCCCCAUUCCUCCUUCUCUCCAGCCUGUUGCAACAAUCAUUCUGUUUCCAUCUUUAUGAAUUUGACUAUUCAAGGUACCUCAUAUAAGUGGAACCAAGUGGACUCAUUCAGGGCUUUUUUGAGGGAAGGGUCAACUAGCUUAUUUCACUUAACAAAAUGUCUUAAAGGUUUAACAAUGUUGUAGCUUGUGUCAGAAUUUCCUUCCUUUUUAAGGCUGAGCAAUAUCCCAUUGUGUGUAUGGACCAUCUUUUUUUAUUCAUUAAUCUUUCCAUGAACCCUUGGGUUGCUUCCACAUUUUGGCUAUUGUGAUUAAUCCUGUUAUGAACUUGGGUGUACCCUGCUUUAAAUUUGGGUGGAAUUGCUGGAUCAUCUAAUAAUUCCAUGUUUCAUUUUUUGAGGAAGUGUCAUGCUGUUUUCCAUAGAGGCUGCACCAUUUUACAUUCCCAUCAGUAAUGCACAAGGAUUCUAAAGGAUUCUAAUUUCUAUAUACCCUGAACAACACAUUAUUUUCUGGGUUGUUUUUUUUUUCCUUUUCUUUUCCUUUUUCUCCCCUUAAUCGUAGCCAUUCAAAUAGGUGUGAAAUUGUAUCUCACUGUGGUUUUGAUUUGCAUUUCCCUAAUGAUUAGUAAUGUUGAGCAUAUUUUCAUGUGCUUACUGGCUAUUUGUUUAUCUUUUUGGGAGAAAUAUUUGUUCAGGUCUUCUGCCUAUUUUUGAAUUGGGUCAUUUCUUUUUUUGUUGUUAAGCUGCAAGAGUUCUUUAUAUAUUCUGAAUAUCAACUUUUUAUCAGAUACGACUUGUAAAAAUUUUCUCCCAUUCUGUGGGUUGCCUUUUCACUGUAUUGAUUGUAUCAUUUUAUGCAUAGAUGUUUUAAAUUUUGAUGUAGUCAAAUUUAUCUAUUUUUCUCUUUUUUUGUCUGGGAUUUUAGUGUCAUAUCUAAGAAACGACUGCUAAAUCCAAUGUCAUGAAGCUUUCCUCCUAUGUUUUAUUCUAAGAGUUUUAGGUUUUAGCUCUUGUAAUUAAUACAUUUAGUUAAUUUUUGUGCACAGUUGUGUAAAAGCCCAACUUAAUUCCUUUGCAUGUGGAUAUCCAGUUUCCCCAGCAUCACUUGUUGGAAGGCCUGCUCUUUCCCCACUGAAUGACGCUGGCAUCUUACUAAAAGUCAUCUGAGCAUAUAUGUUCUCUACUGGGUUCCCUAUCAUAUUCCACUGGUGUAUAUAUCUCUUCAUGCCAGGACCACACUAUAUUGAUUAAUGUAGCUUUAUAAUAAGUUCUGAAAUCAGGAAGUCUUGAGACAUCCAACUUCAGUUUUCCUUUUCAUAUUGUUUUGGCUAUUCAGGGCCUCAAAAAUUCAUAUGUAUUUUACAAUGGAUUUUUUUUAUUUUUAUGCAAAGAAUACCAUUAAGAUUUUGAUGGACUGAACUGAUCUAUACGUUGCUUUAGGUAGUGUUUGACAUCUUUGUAAUAUCAAGUCUUCCAACCCAUAAGUACAAAAUUUCUUUCUAUUUAUUUGUGUCUUCUUUAAUUCCUUGCAACCAUGUUGUGUACUUUUAAGUAUACAAAUCUUGCACCUGCUUGCUUAUGUUUAUUCUGAGGAAUUUUAUUAUUUUUAUGCUAUGGUAAAUGGAGUUAUUUUCUUAAUUUCCUUUUCAGAUUGUUCAUUGUUGGGGUACAGAAAUGCAACUCAUAUUUGCGUGUCAAUUUCUUGCAACUCUGCUGAAUUUAUUAGUUCUAGUGGGUUUUUGUGCAAUCUUAGAGUUUUCUACAUAUAAAAUUACAUUGUCUACAAACAGAGAUAAUUUCACUUCUUCCUUUCCCAUUUGAAUGCUUUUUAUUUCCUAAUUGCUCUGACUAGGACUUCUAGUUCUGUGUUGAAUAAAAGUGAUAAGAGUGGGCAUCCUUUUCAUGUUCCAGAUUUUAGAGGAAAAGCUUUCAGUCUUUCACCAUUGACUGUGUUAGCUGUGGGCUUUUCAUAUAUGACCUUUAUUACUUGACCAUUAUAUAUGACCAUAUUAUUUUCAUCUAUGACCUAUAUUCAUAUGUGAUUUUUAUUGAGAUAGCUUCCUUCUAUUUCUAGUUUAUUGAGUAUUUUUUAUGAAAAGAGUUGGAUUUUGUCAAAUGCUAUUUCUGCAUCAGUUGAGAUGAAUAUAUGCUUUUCUUCCUUCAUUUUGUUAAAAGCAAAUGGUAAACAGCCUAUUCUCUUGCUCUUUGAUUAAGAAGGUAAAACAAGUUUCUGUAACAGCAAAAUAUAUAACCUGCCUUCAAAGAUAGUGCAAGUUCAUUCAUUCAUUUAGUCAAAUAUUUAUUGAGAAAAUGUUCAAUGUGUGGCAAGUGACUUUCUCGGCACUAGAGUUCAAAGAUUGAAAGCAUAUAUCCUUUCCUUCAAGAGUAUCUUAGUCUACUGAGGGAGACAGGCCCUUCCUCAAGCAACCCCAUGAACUCUAUGCUCUAAUCACAACAUUAUAUCAACCACAUCCCCUGUCUGUUUAUGGAGUUCCCUGAGAUCAUGAUUUUCUGACUCUCCUCCCUUCUUUGCCUGUCAAAAUCAUAAACAUUUUUGCAGUUCUAGUUGAAAUUCUACUUCUGAGAAAUACUCUCUGAUCACCUUGUCCAGAAUUAAUUUCUCUACCUCUGCAAUCUCUAUUAUACCCUACUUCAGUUCAGUUCAGUUCAGUCACUCAAUCGUGUCCAACUCUCUGCGACCCCAUGAAUCGCAGCACGCCAGGCCUCCCUGUCCAUCACCAACCCCCGGAGUUCACUCAGACUCAUGUCCAUUGAGUCUGUGAUGCCAUCCAGCCAUCUCAUCCUCUCUUGUCCCCUUCUCCUCCUGCCCCCAAUCCCUCCCAGCAUCAGAGUGUUUUACAAUGAGUCACUCUUCGCAUGAGGUGGCCAAAGUACUGGAGUUUCAGCUUUAGCAUCAUUCCUUCCAAAGAAUAUCCAGGAGUGAUCUCCUUUAGAAUGGACUUGUUGGAUCUCCUUGCAGUCCAAGGGACUCUCAAGAGUCUUCUCCAACACCACAGUUCAAAAGCAUCAAUUCUUCGGCCCUCAGCUUUCUUCACAGUCCAACUCUCAUAUCCAUACAUGACUGCUGGAAAAACCAUAGCCUUGACUAGAUGGACCUUUGUUGGCAAAGUAAUGUCUCUGCUUUUCAAUAUGUUAUCUAGGUUGGUCAUAACUUUCCUUCCAAGGAGUAAGCAUCUAUUAAUUUCAUGGCUGCAAUCACCAUCUGCAGUGAUUUUGGAGCCAAAAAAAAAAUAAAGUCUGGCACUGUUUCUACUGUUUCCCCAUCUGUUUCCCAUGAAGUAAUGGGACCAGAUGCCACAAUCUUCGUUUUCUUAAUGUUGAGCUUUAAGCCAACUUUUUCUCUCUCUUCUUUCACUUUCAUCAGGAGGCUUUGGAGUUCCUCUUCACUUUCUGCCAUAAGGGUGGUGUCAUCUGCAUAUCUGAGGUUAUUGAUAUUUCUCCUGGCAAUCU
ensembl:lincRNA